rnacentral:rRNA from 1 species
GGUGAACGCUGGCGGUAGGCCUAACACAUGCAAGUCGAACGGCAGCACAGUAAGAGCUUGCUCUUACGGGUGGCGAGUGGCGGACGGGUGAGGAAUACAUCGGAAUCUACUUUUUCGUGGGGGAUAACGUAGGGAAACUUACGCUAAUACCGCAUACGACCUACGGGCGAAAGCAGGGGAUCUUCGGACCUUGCGCGAUUGAAUGAGCCGAUGUCGGAUUAGCUAGUUGGCGGGGUAAAGGCCCACCAAGGCGACGAUCCGUAGCUGGUCUGAGAGGAUGAUCAGCCACACUGGAACUGAGACACGGUCCAGACUCCUACGGGAGGCAGCAGUGGGGAAUAUUGGACAAUGGGCGCAAGCCUGAUCCAGCCAUACCGCGUGGGUGAAGAAGGCCUUCGGGUUGUAAAGCCCUUUUGUUGGGAAAGAAAAGCAGCAGGUUAAUACCCCGCUGUUCUGACGGUACCCAAAGAAUAAGCACCGGCUAACUUCGUG